GGGCGUAAAGAGCUCGUAGGGCGGUCUGUCGCGUCUGCUGUGAAAUUCCGAGGCUCAACCUCGGGCUUGCAGUGGGUACGGGCAGACUAGAGUGCGGUAGGGGAGAUUGGAAUUCCUGGUGUAGCGGUGGAAUGCGCAGAUAUCAGGAGGAACACCGAUGGCGAAGGCAGAUCUCUGGGCCGUUACUGACGCUGAGGAGCGAAAGGGUGGGGAGCAAACAGGCUUAGAUACCCUGGUAGUCCACCCCGUAAACGUUGGGAACUAGUUGUGGGGUCCUUUCCACGGAUUCCGUGACGUAGCUAACGCAUUAAGUUCCCCGCCUGGGGAGUACGGCCGCAAGGCUAAAACUCAAAGGAAUUGACGGGGACCCGCACAAGCGGCGGAGCAUGCGGAUUAAUUCGAUGCAACGCGAAGAACCUUACCAAGGCUUGACAUACACCAGAACGGGCCAGAAAUGGUCAACUCUUUGGACACUGGUGAACAGGUGGUGCAUGGUUGUCGUCAGCUCGUGUCGUGAGAUGUUGGGUUAAGUCCCGCAACGAGCGCAACCCUCGUUCUAUGUUGCCAGCACGUUAUGGUGGGAACUCAUGGGAUACUGCCGGGGUCAACUCGGAGGAAGGUGGGGAUGACGUCAAAUCAUCAUGCCCCUUAUGUCUUGGGCUUCACGCAUGCUACAAUGGCCGGUACAAUGGGCUGCGAUACCGCGAGGUGGAGCGAAUCCCAAAAAGCCGGUCCCAGUUCGGAUUGAGGUCUGCAACUCGACCUCAUGAAGUCGGAGUCGCUAGUAAUCGCAGAUCAGCAACGCUGCGGUGAAUACGUUCCCGGGUCUUGUACACACCGCC
rnacentral:rRNA from 1 species